AUUGAACGCUGGCGGCAGGCCUAACACAUGCAAGUCGAGCGGAGCGGCGGACGGGUGAGUAAUGCCUAGGAAUCUGCCUGGUAGUGGGGGAUAACGUCCGGUAACGGGCGCUCAUACCGCAUACUAUCAGAUGAGCCUCGGUCUGAUUAGCUAGUUGGUGGGGUAAAGGACUACCCAGGCGACGAGCCGUAACUGGUCUUAGAGGAUGAUCAGUCACAAUGGAACUGUGACACGGUCCAGCAUCCGACGGGAGGCAGCAGUGGGGAAUAUUGGAGAAUGGGCGAAAGCCUGAUCCAGCCAUGCCGCGUGUGUGAAGAAGGUCUACGGAGUGUAAAGCACUUUAAGUUGGGAGGCGUUACCAACAGAAUAAGCACCGGCUAACUUCGUGCCAGCAGCCGCGGUAAUAC
rnacentral:rRNA from 1 species